GGGGGGCUUGGCGCGGCGGCCACUGCGCGGAACGACGCUGCGGCACCCGCUCCAGACAUGCUGCUGCUGAAGAAACACACGGAGGACAUCAGCAGCGUCUACGAGAUCCGCGAGAGGCUCGGCUCGGGUGCCUUCUCCGAGGUGGUGCUGGCCCAGGAGCGGGGCUCCGCACACCUCGUGGCCCUCAAGUGCAUCCCCAAGAAGGCCCUCCGGGGCAAGGAGGCCCUGGUGGAGAACGAGAUCGCAGUGCUCCGUAGGAUCAGUCACCCCAACAUCGUCGCUCUGGAGGAUGUCCACGAGAGCCCUUCCCACCUCUACCUGGCCAUGGAACUGGUGACGGGUGGCGAGCUGUUUGACCGCAUCAUGGAGCGCGGCUCCUACACAGAGAAGGAUGCCAGCCAUCUGGUGGGUCAGGUCCUCGGCGCCGUUUCCUACCUGCACAGCCUGGGGAUCGUGCACCGGGACCUCAAGCCCGAAAACCUCCUGUAUGCCACGCCCUUUGAGGACUCGAAGAUCAUGGUCUCUGACUUUGGACUCUCCAAAAUCCAGGCUGGCAACAUGCUAGGCACCGCCUGUGGGACCCCUGGAUAUGUGGGUGAGGGACGACACCCUGAGGCUUGCUGGGAGUGGGGUGGCCUGGGGGACCCUAGACAGCCGGGAAGGCUGUUGUGCCCGUUGUCUUUGUGUGGGCCAUUCCUGGGCUUGAGUAGGCCGAGCCAGUGACACUGAGCGGCAUGGCUGCGUGUGUGCCUGUGCGUGCGUCUGUCUGUCUCUGGCCCCCAGCCCCAGAGCUCUUGGAGCAGAAACCCUACGGGAAGGCCGUAGAUGUGUGGGCC
rnacentral:sRNA from 1 species